UAAGUAAUAGACAGGUAGGACGUGCAAAACUGGCACAAGCACAGGCUUGCUCAGUUUUGAUUAGCCUAAAAUAGGAUUUGCAGGAGAGUUGAGAUCAUGCCAUGAGCUAACGCAGAUUGGCUGACAUUGCUCCAGGAAUCACCAUUUUGUACAACAUAGGUUGUGUUUUGAGAGAAGGUGGGAAGAAUGCAACUGCAGUGACCCAAACCUCCUAAUCUAGCAAUCAACAGUGGGAAGCGAGCAUGAUGGAAAAAGAGAUUCUUCAGGAAGUGGAGGAAAAGCUAAGGGAAGACAAAACUAGGACAGCAGAGAUCCCACAAGGGAGCCUUUGCAACACAGUGCUGCAGAUGGGCUGGCCUCAGUUACAAAGUAUAUAGAGGAGACUGAGAGAAAUGGGGCUCCUGAGAACUUCAGUGAGAAACAGGAUCCAAGAGAGUAAAGAGAGACCACUAAACAACAAUAAAAGGAGAGGCAGGUUAAAGCUGGUCAGGAAUGAGCUUUCAAGAAAACCCAGAACAUGGUACUGAUUGAAAAUAGCUCUACAGUUACAUCUUCAAGUGCUUCAAUGAGACAAUCGAAUAUGCAAGAGUGAUUAGAAGGACCAGGAACAGAGCAUAAA